AACGAACGCUGGCGGCAUGCCUAACACAUGCAAGUCGAACGAGGUUAUUGGUUUCGGCCAAUAAUUUAGUGGCGCACGGGUGAGUAACGCGUGGGGAUCUGCCCUUCAAUCUGGAAUAACUUUGGGAAACCGAAGCUAAUACCGGAUAUACCUAUAUAGAGGGAUUUAUAUAGGGAAAGAUUUAUCGUUGAAGGAUGAACCCGCGUUAGAUUACGCUAGUUGGUAAGGUAACGGCUUACCAAGGCUCCGAUCUAUAGCUGGUCUGAGAGGAUGAUCAGCCACACUGGGACUGAGACACGGCCCAG
rnacentral:rRNA from 1 species